UACGUAGGGUGCAAGCGUUAAUCGGAAUUACUGGGCGUAAAGCGUGCGCAGGCGGUUUUGUAAGCCAGAUGUGAAAUCCCCGGGCUCAACCUGGGAACUGCAUUUGGGACUGCAAGGCUUGAGUACGGCAGAGGGGGGUAGAAUUCCUGGUGUAGCAGUGAAAUGCGUAGAUAUCAGGAGGAAUACCGAUGGCGAAGGCAGCCCCCUGGGUCGAUACUGACGCUCAUGCACGAAAGCGUGGGGAGCAAACAGG
rnacentral:rRNA from 1 species